rnacentral:rRNA from 1 species
CCUACGGGCGGCUGCAGUGAGGAAUAUUGGUCAAUGGACGAGAGUCUGAUCCAGCCAAGUCGCGUGAAGGAUGACUGCCCUAUGGGUUGUAAACUUCUUUUAUAUGGGAAUAAAAUGUUCCACGUGUGGGAUUUUGUAUGUACCAUAUGAAUAAAGAUCGGAUAACUCCGUGCCAGCAGCCGCGGUAAUACGGAGGAUCCGAGCGUUAUCCGGAUUUAUUGGGUUUAAAGGGAGCGUAGGUGGAUUGUUAAGUCGGUUGUGAAAGUUUGGGGCUCAACCGUAAAAUUGAAGUUGAAACUGGCAGUCUUGAGUACAGUAGAGGGGGGCGGAAUUCGUGGUGUAGCGGUGAAAUGCGUAGAGAUCACGAAGAACACCGAUUGCGAAGGCAGCUCACUGGACUGCAACUGACACUGAGGCUCGAAAGUGUGGGGAGCAAACAGGAUUAGAUACCCUAGUAGUC